AGUCUCUUUCAACAAAAGAGCGGAGCGGAAAGGAAAAAACUUUUUCGUCAAUGAUCACGACUUUCUUAAACCUUCCUCCCUUUGAUAAAGGUUUGGUAUUUUUCGGUUCUAUUUUUGGUUCAUUUUUUUCAUUAGGCAGAUUAAAGGAUAUCUAAGUAAGAUAGACGGAGAGCUAUUUGACUCAACUAUCUGAGUUUGCCAACCACAAUAGAGUGGAAGCGGCAAAAGCGGGCCACGUGGCCCUGCAUGAGCUAUCCUUCUCAUCUCAUGGUUGAGGGGGGUUAAAAUGAGGGUGAAGACCUUCCCUAUACAACGGAAGGGGUCCACCCUCUAAGCCUAAGUAUUCCUCAAUGACCGAUAGCGUACAAGUACCGUGAGGAAAGGUGAAAAGAACCCCAAUC
rnacentral:rRNA from 1 species